AUUGAACGCUGGCGGCAGGCCUAACACAUGCAAGUCGAACGAGUGGCGGACGGGUGCGUAAUGUCUUGGAAACUGCCUGAUCGAGGGGGAUAACUACUGGAAACGGCAGCUAAUACCGCAUACCAUCGGAUGUGCCCAGAUGGGAUUAGCUAGUAGGUGGGGAAAAGGCUAACCUAGGCGACGAUCCCUAGCUGGUCUGAGAGGAUGACCAGCCACACGGGAACUGAGACACGGUCCAGACUCCUACGGGAGGCAGCAGUGGGGAAUAGUGCACAAUGGGCGCAAGCCUGAUGAAGCCAUGCCGCGUGUAUGAAGAAGGCCUUCGGGUUGUAAAGUACUUUCAGCGGGGAGGCGUUACCCGAAGAAGAAGCACCGGCUAACUCCGUGCCAGCAGCCGCGGUAAUUC
rnacentral:rRNA from 1 species